AGUCUAGUGACACUGCGCCGAAAAUGUACCGGGGCUAAACAUAUUACCGAAGCUGUGGAUUGUCCUUUGGACAAUGGUAGGAGAGCGUUCUAAGGGCGUCGAAGCAUGAUCGCAAGGACAUGUGGAGCGCUUAGAAGUGAGAAUGCCGGUGUGAGUAGCGAAAGACGGGUGAGAAUCCCGUCCACCGAUUGACUAAGGUUUCCAGAGGAAGGCUCGUCCGCUCUGGGUUAGUCGGGUCCUAAGCUGAGGCCGACAGGCGUAGGCGAUGGAUAACAGGUUGAUAUUCCUGUACCACCUAGUAUCGUUUUAAUCGAUGGGGGGACGCAGUAGGAUAGGCGAAGCGUGCUGUUGGAGUGCACGUCCAAGCAGUAAGGCUGAGUGUUAGGCAAAUCCGGCACUCAUAAGGCUGAGCUGUGAUGGGGAGAGGAAAUUGUUUCCUCGAGUCGUUGAUUUCACACUGCCGAGAAAAGCCUCUAGAUAGAUAACAGGUGCCCGUACCGCAAACCGACACAGGUAGUCAAGAUGAGAAUUCUAAGGUGAGCGAGCGAACUCUCGUUAAGGAACUCGGCAAAAUGACCCCGUAACUUCGGGAGAAGGGGUGCUCUUUAGGGUUCACGCCCAGAAGAGCCGCAGUGAAUAGGCCCAAGCGACUGUUUAUCAAAAACACAGGUCUCUGCUAAACCGUAAGGUGAUGUAUAGGGGCUGACGCCUGCCCGGUGCUGGAAGGUUAAGAGGAGUGGUUAGCUUCUGCGAAGCUACGAAUCGAAGCCCCAGUAAACGGCGGCCGUAACUAUAACGGUCCUAAGGUAGCGAAAUUCCUUGUCGGGUAAGUUCCGACCCGCACGAAAGGCGUAACGAUUUGGGCACUGUCUCAACGAGAGACUCGGUGAAAUCAUAGUACCUGUGAAGAUGCAGGUUACCCGCGACAGGACGGAAAGACCCCGUGGAGCUUUACUGUAGCCUGAUAUUGAAAUUCGGCACAGCUUGUACAGGAUAGGUAGGAGCCUUUGAAACGUGAGCGCUAGCUUACGUGGAGGCGUUGGUGGGAUACUACCCUAGCUGUGUUGGCUUUCUAACCCGCACCACUUAUCGUGGUGGGAGACAGUGUCAGGCGGGCAGUUUGACUGGGGCGGUCGCCUCCUAAAAGGUAACGGAGGCGCUCAAAGGUUCCCUCAGAAUGGUUGGAAAUCAUUCAUAGAGUGUAAAGGCAUAAGGGAGCUUGACUGCGAGACCUACAAGUCGAGCAGGGUCGAAAGACGGACUUAGUGAUCCGGUGGUUCCGCAUGGAAGGGCCAUCGCUCAACGGAUAAAAGCUACCCCGGGGAUAACAGGCUUAUCUCCCCCAAGAGUUCACAUCGACGGGGAGGUUUGGCACCUCGAUGUCGGCUCAUCGCAUCCUGGGGCUGUAGUCGGUCCCAAGGGUUGGGCUGUUCGCCCAUUAAAGCGGUACGCUAGCUGGGUUCAGAACGUCGUGAGACAGUUCGGUCCCUAUCCGUCGUGGGCGUAGGAAAUUUGAGAGGAGCUGUCCUUAGUACGAGAGGACCGGGAUGGACAUACCUCUGGUGUACCAGUUGUCGUGCCAACGGCAUAGCUGGGUAGCUAUGUAUGGACGGGAUAAGUGCUGAAAGCAUCUAAGCAUGAAGCCCCCCUCAAGAUGAGAUUUCCCAACUUCGGUUAUAAGAUCCCUCGAAGAUGACGAGGUUAAUAGGUUCGAGGUGGAAGCGUGGUGACACGUGGAGCUGACGAAUACUAAUCGAUCGAAGACUUAAUCAAUUUUUAAA
rnacentral:rRNA from 1 species